rnacentral:rRNA from 1 species
CAGCCGUAAACAAUGUGCGUUAGGUGUGUCGGUAACCACGAGUCACCGGGUGCCGAAGGGAAACCGUGAAACGUGCCGCCUGGGAAGUACGGUCGCAAGGCUGAAACUUAAAGGAAUUGGCGGGGGGAGCACCACAACGGGUGGAGCCUGCGGUUUAAUUGGACUCAACGCCGGAAAUCUCACCGGAUAGGACAGACAUAUGAUAGUCGGGCUGAAGACUCUACUUGAUGAUCUGAGAGGAGGUGCAUGGCGUCAGUGACU